rnacentral:rRNA from 1 species
AUAACUAAGCGGAGGAAAAGAAACUAACCAGGAUUCCCCCAGUAACGGCGAGUGAAGCGGGAAGAGCUCACGUUGUAAAUCUGCCUUCGGGCCGAAUUGUAGUCUGGAGAGGCGCGGCCAGCCGUGGCCGGGGGCGAAGUCUCUUGGAAAAGAGCAUCAAGGAGGGUGACAAUCCCGUUCUUGCCCCCACGCCGCGCGCGUACGGUCCGUUUUCUAAGAGUCGAGUUGCUUGGGAUUGCAGCUCAAAGCGGGUGGUAAAUCCCAUCUAAAGCUAAACACGGGUGGGAGACCGAUAGCGAACAAGUACCGUGAGGGAAAGAUGCAAAGAACUUUGAAAAGAGAGUUAAAGAGUGCCUGAAAUUGCUGAAAGGGAAGCGAAGGAAACCAGUGUCUGGCCUCGAAGCUUUCCCUCCGCCCUUCGGGGCUCUGGGUCGCGUCUUGGCCGUGGCCAGGGCCGGGUAUGGUUGCGGGAGCCUGCGUCGUGGAAGGUAGCCUCUCCUCGGAGGGUGAAUACCGCGGCGUGUCGUCGCGACCGUGGCCGGCUCUGACGAAAUGGUUUUCUUCAC